GUCCGAUAUAGAAGCCCCCAAAUGCCAACUAAUCACCAAUAAUAACCAAAUAAAUCAUAAGCCCAUGAUGGGGACUGAAUCCGGCAGAAGAAGCUGUCAGAGCCAUAUAAACUAGCAGCUAGCUGGGAGCUGGGAAGUGCUGACAGGCUGAGCGAAGGAAUGGACGGGUGGUGGAGGGAAAAUCCAGUGAGGCAAGUCCCUGUCGAAGCACUAAAUUAUGACUAGAUCGGCGGCAGUAUCUGAACACCGUAACUGCAGAGCCAUGUAAAAUUUAUGCAGCAAGACUGAACUGAAAACGAAACGGAGCCGAAUGCACCGGGGUAAUCCUGUAGACAAGGGCGACAAGGAAAAGAUGAUGUCAUAAUAUAUUGUAAUUUAUGGGAGGAGUGCUGACAGUUGAAGCUCGCUUAAGCUCGAGAA